rnacentral:miRNA from 1 species
AUAUUGAUUAAUAAAUGAU